GACGAACGCUGGCGGCGUGCUUAACACAUGCAAGUCGAACGGAAAGGCCCUGCUUUUGUGGGGUGCUCGAGUGGCGAACGGGUGAGUAACACGUGAGUAACCUGCCCUUGACUUUGGGAUAACUUCAGGAAACUGGGGCUAAUACCGGAUAGGAGCUCUUGCUGCAUGGUGGGGGUUGGAAAGAUUCGGCGGUUGGGGCUGGACUCGCGGCUUAUCAGCUUGUUGGUGGGGUAGUGGCUUACCAAGGGUUUGACGGGUAGCCGGCCUGAGAGGGUGACCGGCCACAAUGGGACUGCGAGACGGCCCAGACUGCUACGGGAGGCAGCAGUGGGGAAUAUUGCACAAUGGGCGGAAGCCUGAUGCAGCAACGCCGCGUGCGGGAUGACGGCCUUCGGGUUAUAAACCGCUUUCGCCUGUGACGAAGCGUGAGUGACGGUAAUGGGUAAAGAAGCACCGGCUAACUACGUG
rnacentral:rRNA from 1 species